rnacentral:lncRNA from 1 species
ACAGAAACAAGCUUUAGGGCUAGUUUGGCAGCAGGGGAAGGAAAAUCCAGGGUUUUAGAUCCAAAGAGGGGAUUUUAGGGAGCAGACGGGAUCCCCUCGAGGAAUCUUCAAACCCGGGAAAUCACCUGUGACCCCAUUUGGUAACAAGGGCGAGAAAUCACCCCGUGCCCCAUUUGGAAACCACAAAAAAAUCAGAAAAAAUCAAGGAAUAAAAAGGAAAUAAAGCUAAAUAGGUAUACCAAAUAUAAUCACAAGUAAUUCGAAAAUGCCUAGAACUGCUUCUCCUCUCCUUCGUCAGCACAAUUUCUUACAAGCAGAUCUGUGAGAAACCAUAGAACCAGAGAGAUUGAAAGAGGAAACGGAAUCGUAGGUGCACCAGGAAGUCAGAGGAGGACGAGGCUUUGCUGGAUUGAAGAAUGGAAGCCGUGGGAGGAUGAGCCGAUCCAGAACCGGCAUGAGGAAGAAUCUACAGAAGGGGCCAUUGGAGGAGGCAGGGUGACGAUCUACUCGAGGACUUGCGAUCUGCUCGGGGACGACGCGGCUGGAGGACAGGAGGAGGGAGGUGGGCCGGCGCCCGGCGGGCGCCGAAGGAAAUUGCAGGAGAGAGGGGACGAACUCCUAGUCGCGGGAGGAAGACGAAGAGCUCGCGCGCGGAGGCGCUCUGUCCCGAGAGGCGCGUGGUUUCUUUCCCGACGUACCGA